UAACCGCAUCAGGUCUCCAAGG
rnacentral:snRNA from 1 species